AUGAGUGGCAAAAACCAAGUGGAGCAGAGUCCUCUGUCCCUGAUCAUCGUGGAGGGAAAGAACUGCACAUUUCAAUGCAAUUAUACAGUGAUCUCCUUUAACAUCUUAAGGUGGUACAAACAGGACACUGGGAGAGGUCCUGUUUCCCUGAUAACCAUGACUUACAGUGAGAGUGAAAAAUUGAAUGGAAGGUAUACAGCGACUCUGGAUACAACCGUCAAGCACAGCUCCCUGCACAUCACAGCCGCCCAGCUCAGCGAUCCAGCCUUCAACAUCUGUGCGAUGGGCGCACUGUGCUCCCCAGGCACUUGCAGCCAGUAUACAAACCUGUACCAGGAGAUUGUGAAGAAGGCUUAG